AGAGAAAGGUAAUACUCCAGAGUUAAGGGCCGCGUACCUCCAACAGAGAAUAUGUGAAGUCAAAAAGGACGUUUUUAUGGCUCCAUAUGUGCACUCGGACCAUUGGCAGUUAUUUGUUCUUUCAAUGAAGAGCAACACUGUCGUCUUUUUAUGCUCCCUCCAUUACAAACUUGGGAAAGAAAUGAAGAAGACGAUAGACUUGGCAAUGAGAACAUAUCAAAAUGUAGUCUUACAAAAGCAUGGACAUGAGCUCAAGGAUCCC